rnacentral:lncRNA from 1 species
UUUCCGCGACUCUUCCCAUGUCCUUUUCUGAAUACCAUUCCCUCUCACCAUCAUCAAGGAGACUCUUUAUUCUGUUUUGGGCUCUUCUGCUUUUAGUCAUCGCGUGGUAAAAUUUAGUAUUCUUGUCUCCCCCACUCAGCCAGCUGACUCUACUUUUCAGCCUCCAGAAUGCUUCUUCCUGGCGAUACUCUCUAUUCAACUCCCAUCGCAGGUUAGACAUCUCCAACUAGUUGAAAGGAUUUUGGUGUGUCAGCUGGUCCAUCUGGAAAUGAAUUUCCUGUAUUCUUUUCGCUGCAUAAGUCUGCGUGGAUCUUUUCCAGAUUGCUAUAGACUUCCUGCACUCAGCUAAUUUCUCUGAAAUGGAUUUAGAAUUGAUCCGAGAAUUGGCCUCCCAGCAUGAUUUGACUACCUCAAUGAAUCCUUGUCUCUCAACCCAUCGAUAAUCAUAUCUGAAGCUUGCUUUCCUCCUCCCAUGAUUCCCAACAAGACUGGUGAUAAGCGGGCUAUGAUCAGAGCAGAUCUUCUGCAAAUAACAGGCUUGAGCAUUCUCGAACAUCUCCGACCACAAUUGAUUCGCUACAGAUCUGUCAGUCUGCAUUGAACUAAUACGUCAUUUAGAGCCCCUUCAUUUAGAAGGGACAUAAGUAGCAUUCAUGAAAGAACUAACUAAAAAUAAUAAAAAAUGAAAAUUUAUCUGAGAUUAGAAAAGGGUGUCGAGCACGUCUCGGCGACUCUCGAUAGAGCAACGCAUUUGAUGAAGUGCAGGGGACGGUUAAGACUCACAGAGCGAUGAUCGAAGCAUCCAUCUGGAGAACAAAGAUGUUUUAAGGGGUUCACUUAUUAGAUUUUGUGUAAAAGGAAUCGAGUUUGGAACUCGAAGCGUUGGAGCUAAAUCCAACUUUGCCUCCUUUAAGAUCAUUGAUGUUGAUGAAUCUAGGUUUAUGGAGGCGUUUCUGGUGCUUUGGUAGAGUGUGGUGGAGAGAGUUUGAAGAGGCUUAAAGCUAUUUGACUCAGGUUUCCAAUUACAGCUCAGGUUUGAUAUUCACUACAAUCUGACUAUAUGUGUUCUCUCGAUCUAUUAAAUUGUUAAAUCUCAAUUGUGUCAAGCGUUCAACAUGCAUUAGAGCUUUUUUUUCUGACAAGUACUACUAACAUUCUUAAUAAUUUAAGAGUGCUUGGGCUGAUGUGAAAUCUCUGAUUGAGAAGGAAGAGCAGGAGGUAUAAGGAGCCAUCUUGAGGUACUUAAUCAUCUUCAAUCAUCUAUUUCGCAAUCUUAUCAAUCUCUAUCAUGUCCUCCAACUAGAUUCUGGAUUUUGAGAGUUAGCUAUCUCUGCCUUUGAUUGGGUUUCAGAAAUCAUGUUCCUGAAUUUUAUUUGAUUAUUGGUUUUCGUGUCCAGAAUUCCUAAUUUUCGUUUUGAUCUUGUUUAGCAUUUGAAGCAUUCAACUCUUGUUUUGUAUUAAUUUGAGCCUAUUUUGCAACACCGAGCAUGUCUAUGUUAUGUUGUAGAAGAAUCUUAAUUUUGCUGCGUUAUAUGAAUUUGGCAACAGAGAGUUUUGAUGUGGUCAAAUAUUAUUUAGGAGGAUAGGAUAGGAUCACCAAUUUAAGCAUUUAUUAGGACCAAGUCUACUGCUUAAUUAUCUAUUGUGAUUUUACUUUUGUUUGUUCUUAACUACGACAAUUCUUUUGUAUGUGGGAAAUGAAAGGACUAGAUUAGGCUUAAAGCAGUUAAAGACGUAACUAACAGCUCUGCCGCAUUGGAUAACAAAAACUCUUUUAUAUGAAAAGCUUGCAAGGGGAGAGCUUUCAGAUGAACAAGCAGAAGAUAAGUACUAUAUGGAUUUCUCUAAUAUAAGUUAACACGUGAUUAUGGUCAGUUAAAUUACAUUGUUGUCUCUUUUUCUCCAUUAGUCAUAUGUUUGAUACAUAGCACAAAGAGGGAGAAAAUGAAGCAAGCUCAUCGUUAUAGAUUUUACUCUGCUCUUAUUAAGUGAAUUAACAUAUCUCUCUUGCUAAUCUUCUCUUUUGAAAUGAAAAAUCUUUGCUGAGAGGUUCAUGAAGAAGUGAAUCAAGCGACAGAAAAUGCAACAGAGUUGAAAUUUGAUGUUUACAUAGCUCAUGUUUUGCUUACUGUCUCUCCUUGUAUGAUCUAUCUAUGAAAAAUUAGGAUCAUUAACCACUUAUAAAAUUGAGGAAAGUUGUUUAUACUUUUAGGAAGGAUUUUCUGAAUAGCUUUUUCA